rnacentral:rRNA from 1 species
CCUACGGGAGGCAGCAGUGAGGAAUAUUGGUCAAUGGACGAGAGUCUGAACCAGCCAAGUAGCGUGAAGGAUGACUGCCCUAUGGGGUGUAAACUUCGUUUAUAUGGGAAUAAAAUGUUCCACGUGUGGGAUUUUGUAUGUACCAUAUGAAUAAGGAUCGGCUAACUCCGUGCCAGCAGCCGCGGUAAUACGGAGGAUCCGAGUGUUAUCCGGAUUAAUUGGGUUUAAAGGGUGCGUAGGUGGGUCGUAAAGUCGGUGGGAAAAUUUAGGGGCUCACCCCCUGCCCGCCAUUGAAACUGGCGCUCUUGAGUGGAGGAGAGGUAUGCGGAAUGCGUGGUGUAGCGGUGAAAUGCAUAGAUAUCACGCAGAACCCCGAUUGCGAAGGCAGCAUGCCGGAUUCCGACUGACGCUGAGGCACGAAAGCGUGGGGAUCGAACAGGAUUAGAUACCCUUGUAGUC